GGUGGCCUUCGCUACUCAUGAAUCCCAGAAUCGAAGUCAAGAAGAGGUAAAAACGGAGAGGGAGGUUGAGGUUGUUAGGCACCCUCUGGAGAGGUUCCAAAAGAGGAGAAGAUCCAAAGCUGUUGUCGCUCCAUCGGUUGCCCCGAUUGUUAUGGUGGAAUGGGCUCCUCGGCCCUUGGAGGGGCAAAUGACUGAAGUGGCCCUUCCCAUUGUGGCAGAUCCACCAUAGGAUCCUCAACCUUCUCCUAUAGUUGAAAUUUUGUCUAAGAAGCAAUUGGAGAAAAGGGUGCCCAAAGAGGAGCAAGCUGUGCUCUAGGGAGAAUCCUCACACUACAUCACAAAAUUUGAGUGACAUGUACAUGAGUCAGGCACUGAAAAUGCUCCUCCUAUUGAGGGGAAUGUCUCUUGAGAGCAAGAAGAACCUUCUGAGGAGUCUGAUUUGCUGGUGGCUGUCGAGGCUAGGGGCGAACUAGUGGCCCUCGAUGAUGCAGGUUGAACGAGGAUCGUGUCAUUCGACGAUUACUCAGCUUUUGGGGAGAAUUUCAUGGCUGGUCUUUAGACGCACACCUAUUGCCAUGCCUACGACCAUGAUGUUUUGAGUGAGAUGACCAUACGCGAGCUCAGCCGAAAUUGGAGAGUGACUGUUAGUCGGGUGAAGAGCUAACUAAUAAGGUAAAGGAACUCUGGGCUUCUACUACCAUGAAGGACAGGGAGAUUGCCUCCUUUUCUGAGUAGUUGAGGAAGAUGACCGUCGAAGGUGAGUUAACCAAGGCUUCCCUCUUAGACAUGCGGGAGUGGGCAUCGUUUCUCGAGACAAGUUACCAUGACCAUCGAAGCCCAUGAGAUAGUUAGGUUUUGAUGGGGAGAGAAGGAGAAGACAUUGCCUGGGGUCAUCUGGAGCUCUAAGACUUACUUGAGUUCAACUCCAGCUCGUCCUGAUGAGGGGAAUCUUUCCGUGUAACAUGAUUGGGAGGCUAAAGAGGAUGAGGAAUGAUGGGUGGCUCAGCUAGAGUCUAAACUCAAGUCUUCCCAGGAGAAAGUGUUGGUCUCGUGGGUUUAAGCGGUUAAGGACUACAAGACCUCAAAGGAGCUCCAAGUCUAUGUUUAUUUUUUCCACUUGGACACCUACAUCUACAAUGCCUACAGGUGUUGAGACUAAGUCCUAACAGAGCAGCCAUCCUUUAAUUUUUUCCCCUUUGCGCUCGCCAAUGCGCUUAUCUUGAAGGAGAUAGAAGAGGAGGAGUGUUGUGCAGAGGCAGCCCGGAUUUUAGAUGUCCGACCCAUUGAUGAAGAGUCAAGUGAAGAAGAGGAUAGGAUAUUAGUUGAGCAAGAGUUGACCUUUUUUUCUAGCUUUUUGUAUCAGUUGGUCCUUUUCUAAAUUAGCCUUCUGGCCCUUAGUAACGAAAAGCACUCUUUUUAAGUUUAA